GCCAUUGUGGCGGAAUAGGCAGACGCAAGGGACUUAAAAUCCCUCGGACGCAAGUCCGUGCCGGUUCGACCCCGGCCAAUGGCACCA
rnacentral:tRNA from 1 species